rnacentral:tmRNA from 1 species
GGGGGUGCUAGGCACUCGACAUUCUAGAACUUUAAAAAGCUGCAAGCCGAGUUUGAACCAUACUCGUAAAACAGAUUCAAAACACAAGUGUCAACGAUUUUGUUGCACAAGCAAUUGGGGGCUUCAAAUCCCUCUUUGCUCCCCGCGAUUACGCAUUUGCAUAAUUAGGGCGUUUUAAUUUCAUUUUCUCGACUGUGAAAUUAAGGCGAAAACCAAUCGAGAUGCUAUACGCAAGUUACAAUUAGCUGACGUGUAUUAAAGAUUAACUAAUUGACAGUAGUCCCGGGCUAUAUCGGGAAUAAGCUUGUAGAUGCUUUCGAGGAACUAUUAUGGACGUGGGUUCAAAUCCCACCACCUCCACCA